AGCAGGGGAGAGGCAGAGAGGGGGAGAGAGAAUGCCAAACAGGCUCCUCACUGUCAAUGCAGGGUCCAAUGUGGGGCUCCAUCCCAUGAACUGUGAGAUCAUGACCUGAGCUGAAAUCAAGAGUUGGACACUCAACCAACUGAGCUACACAGGUGCUCCUCUUUUUUAUUUCAUUCAUUUCUGCUUUUAUAUUUUAUUUCCACCUUCCUGCUAGCUUUGAAUUUAAUGUUCUCUCUUAUAUUUUAUUAAAGUGGGAGAUGAUAUCAUUGACUUGGGACUUUUCUUCUUUUUCUAUUUUAGGUAUUCUAAGGCUUUAAGUUUUCCUCUAAGUGUUCUGUGUUGGAUGUAUCCCCAUAAAUUCUGCCUCCAGAACCACCCAUCCCCCACAAUGCAGCUCUAUUCCCAACCUCAUCAGUCAUCACACCCAUGACAGUUGCUCAGUUACAAUCAAGAUCACCUCUCUGAAAGUUCCAAACACUUGAUCACUGCACUUACCGUUCCCUGGACCUACUUUAUGUCUGUUCAUCUAAGCUAUAGUUUCUUCAAAACCUACCUCAUCUGUGAAGAUUUCCUAGUGCCACUCCAAAGAGAGAUGAAUCCUGGGUGACACUAGAUGCCAUGUGUUGAAGAUAUCAAGGCUCCUGUCAACCUGGUGCCUGAAAAGGCUAUUGUGCCAACCCCUUCACUUCACUACUGUCAUGUGAGCAAAAAGUAAACUUCUAUGGUGCUUGAGCCAUCAGAUUUCUCUGUAGUCUAUUUGAAAGAGCAUAUAGUCCUCCCAAAGUAUUACUGUUAAAUACGUAAAGAAAUACACACCAUUGGU